rnacentral:rRNA from 1 species
ACGAACGCUGGCGGCGUGCUUAACACAUGCCAGUCGAACGGUGAAGCGCCUUCCUUUUUGGUGGGUGUGGAUGAGUGGCGAACGGGUGAGUAACACGUGAGUAACCUGCCCCCUUCUUCUGGAUAACCGCAUGAAAGUGUGGCUAAUACGGGAUAUUCUGGGUCUGUCGCAUGAUGGGUCUGGGAAAGAUAUUGUUUCGGUGGGGGAUGGGCUCGCGGCCUAUCAGCUUGUUGGUGGGGUGAUGGCCUACCAAGGCGGGGACGGGUAGCCGGCCUGAGAGGGUGGACGGUCACACUGGGACUGAGACACGGCCCAGACUCCUACGGGAGGCAGCAGUGGGGAAUAUUGCACGAUGGGCGCAAGCCUGAUGCAGCGACGCCGCGUGAGGGAUGGAGGCCUUCGGGUUGUGAACCUCUUUCGCCAGUGAAGCAGGCCUGCCUCGUUUGUGGGUGGGUUGACGGUAGCUGGAUAAGAAGCGCCGGCUAACUACGUG